rnacentral:rRNA from 1 species
CGCGUAGGCGGAUAUGUAAGUCAGAUGUGAAAUACCGAGGCUUAACUUCGGUGCUGCAUUUGAAACUACACAUCUAGAGGAUAGACGGAGAAAACGGAAUUCCACAAGUAGCGGUGAAAUGCGUGGAUAUGUGGAAGAACACCGGUGGCGAAGGCGGUUUUCUAGUUUAUACCUGACGCUGAGGCGCGAGAGCAAGGGGAGCAAACA